GAUGAACGCUGGCGGCGUGCCUAAUACAUGCAAGUCGAGCGAACAGACGAGGAUCUUGCUCCUCUGACGUUAGCGGCGGACGGGUGAGUAACACGUGGAUAACCUACCUAUAAGACUGGGAUAACUUCGGGAAACCGGAGCUAAUACCGGAUAAUAUAUUGAACCGCAUGGUUCAAUAGUGAAAGACGGUUUUGCUGUCACUUAUAGAUGGAUCCGCGCCGCAUUAGCUAGUUGGUAAGGUAACGGCUUACCAAGGCAACGAUGCGUAGCCGACCUGAGAGGGUGAUCGGCCACACUGGAACUGAGACACGGUCCAGACUCCUACGAGAGGCAGCAGUAGGGAAUCUUCCGCAAUGGGCGAAAGCCUGACGGAGCAACGCCGCGUGAGUGAUGAAGGUCUUCGGAUCGUAAAACUCUGUUAUUAGGGAAGAACAAAUGUGUAAGUAACUAUGCACGUCUUGACGGUACCUAAUCAGAAAGCCACGGCUAACUACGUG
rnacentral:rRNA from 1 species